rnacentral:lncRNA from 1 species
UGUACCAUAUUUGUGCUACAGUUCCUGGAACUCUGCCGCUAAUGGAAUCUUAUUGCGAAGCGAAUUGUGCUGUGGAUUAGUACUUGGUUAAUUUUGCUCAUUCUUUUGUAUAUGGUUACAUUUUUUUGACUCCUUUAAUUGAGGUUUGUCCUAUUGACUUCAUUAGGACCUUGUUGGUGCACCGCUAUAUAGAGUUGUGCGGGUUUUAAAUAACAUGCAUUUAAGAGCAUUUCGACACAAUAUUCUACUAAAAAAUAAUCCAUAAGAGAAUUUUAUAUAAUAAUUUUAACUUUUUUAUGUCGAGAAAUGAUACUACCCCAAAUUAUCUAUUUGAAUAAUUUAUUUUAAAAAUAGUAAAUUUAACUAACACCCUGAUUGAUAUAUAUAUAUAUAUAUUCAAAACUUUAUAAAAAUUUAUUUUAAAAUGAAUUAUUUUGUAUUUGGUGUAUGAAGGCUAAAUUUGGCUAAUUUUGUAUUUAAAUCUAAUUAAUCCGUACCAAAUCACCAAUCCAUACACGUACACAUGCAAUAUGAAUUUGAGUACCAGGCCAGCAAGACUUCAACAGAAACCAUUCUUUAUUACCAAGAGAUGACAACUUCAGUCCCAACCUCCCACCUCAGGUAAUUCCUCCAACUUAUUAGUUUCUUAUUAUUUCGAGGUUCUUUGGUACGGUGAUAUCUAAUAUCUUGCAUGUUGCACGAUAAGGUCGCCAUCAUCACUGGCGGUGCUAGCGGGAUAGGAGCCGCGACAACCAAACUAUUCCACCCACAAGGCGCCAAGGUCAUGAUCGCCACAUCCAGGACAGCCUAGGCCAAGCCAUUGUCGAAAAUCUAACCGGCACUAGGAAGGAUGAUGUCUUCACGAUCAUCUACAUCCAUUGUGAUGUGUCGAACGAAGAUGACGUGGCAAGCCUGGUGGAUGCCACCAUGGCAAAAUUCGGGAAGCUGGAUAUAAUGUAUUAUAAUGCUGGCAUAGUUGACGGCGUGCCGGGCGCGAGCAUUGUGGAGGCCUCCAAAUUUGACGCCGGUCCAGGUCAAUAUGGUGGGGGCAUUUAUGGGAGCCAAGCACGCUGCCAGGGUCAUGAUCCCAGGCGGACCGGCGUCAUUUUGUUCACCGCCAGUGCUUGUACAGCUAUAGGCGGGCUGGGGAGCCACGCCUAUGUAGCGACCAAAUACGGAAUUCUCGGGUUGACCCGGAACCUGACCGGUGAGCUGGGUGGGCACGGGAUUUGGGUCAAUUGUAUCUCACCGUCUGGGCUGGUGACCGGGGUUGCAACCACCUUGCUGAGCGGAGAACAGUUGGGCCAAGCGGAGGCGUUUCUGAAUGCGAGAGGGAACUUGAAGGGGAAGACUCUCAAAGUCGAAGAUGUCGUGAGGGGUGCGUUGUUUUUGGCGAGCGACGAUGCGCAGUACGUGAGCGGGGUUAACCUAGUGGCUGAUGGCGGGUUUAGUAAGACCAAUCCGACUCUUCUGAACGCAAUGAGUGCUGUCGAUGGUUCGAUGAUGAAUAUUUCGAUCUAACAUGUUUGGUUUCAUCGUAAUGUUCUUGAACACUAGCUAGUAUCAUGGUCUCCCUGUUCUUCGUCGUGUAUUAAGUUAUGUAGACCAACCGGGCCUCCUUUCACAUUCAAAUAGGAACGAAUCUGAGUUUUCUCUGAGCUCCAAC